GCCUGUGGGGAAGUGGGGCCGGCCCGCGGGCUGCCUCUGCGGGAGCCGCCCCAGCGCUCUCAGCAACGCCCUCCGCCUUCAGCCUCGAGGGCAGGCGGCCCGCUAUCGGGUGUCCCCUCUGUUCCCAGGCGCUGGUAGUGGCGGCGACUCCCCGGCUCGAGGCCGCCCCGAAGGCUGUGGUGAGCUCACGAAAUGGAGCCCGAGACACGCCCAGGCCCUUGGCCACCUCAGCGAGGCCGGGCUGCUGGUUUUCUGACAGAAAAGUGAUUUUGGAGAGUCUGGCUACACUUUUAAUACAUAUAUUUAUUUGUGUAUUAAUUAGUAAUCCACCUCAAGCCAGCCAGAACAUUGCUCUUACAGCAUCCCAUUUCUCUGACGUUUUGUGGCACCAUGAAGCACUGCUUUGAGGUGUGCUGGAAUUUAAGACAUUGAGUAGAAAUACUUACAGAUUGUGUUAAAUUCCAUCCAGAGGGUCACAGAAAAAAAAGACCUGACAACAUCUGAGUCUUCCAUCCGAAGCUAUAAAAGGCAAGCCUCAAUUGGAUAGUUCAGUGAGUUAGUGUCAAGUUAAAAAGAUGAAAUUCGGAGUACUGCAGGAGAUGUGCCAACGGUCUCAUCUCUUGAUUUGUUUUUCAAUUAUGUUUUCAUUGUUAGCAGCUCUCCUAAACCAGUGCUUUUAGCUGAUCUCCCUCAGUAUCAAAGGAGCUGAUAGUGAGGCACAGUGAACAUAAGCGAAGAUGUCUCCAUCUCCAAUGCAGUUAUUUCAAAGUAAAUUUAGAAAAGUUGUAAGGUGGUUUCGCUUAGCCUUGUGUUUAGAAGACAGUUGGUGGUUGGAUUGAUGGGUUGAUGGCUGGAGUAGAUGAUCUGAGUGAUCAUCUCCAACCUUUCUGAUUCUAUUUUAAAUCACCAUAUUCUGCUCCAAACCAGUGAAAGAAUCCUGUAUUCUGUACUUCCAACACUGCUUGAGAUAAAAUAAUUGUAGAAGAAGGAUGGUAACAUUUUUAAUUGCCACCACAUCUUGCACAGCAAAUAUGUGUGAGUGCGUUAAGGGGUAACUGCUAUGAAAAAAUCCAGCUGACACAGUUCAGCUGUACUACAGACCACAUUUAGAGAACAGUACAUUAUUCUGCUCCUGUUGCUUAAAAGCAAGCAAGCAAACAAAACAAAACAAAACAAAACAAAACAAAAAAACAGAAACAAAAACAAAAAAACAUUGUUUCACUGGGAAGCUGUCUGUAAUUUACCAGAGAUUUGCUGAAGUCAGAACUACAUCUUUGGCUAGGCACAAAUGCAUCCAUAUCUGGCAAACUUCGUAUUUGAAAAAUAAUCAAAAAGUUACUAAACAUGAGCUCAGCAGCUUGGGAGUCAGAUUCCGAGGGUACUGCAUAUUCUCACUGCUGACAUUCUUUGCAGUUGCUCUUUUGCCUUUUGGGAUCAUUAUGGUAACGAAGGAGAGAGGUAAUUUCAAAUUGCUGAUUGUCAAUUAAUUAGUUUUUUUAACCAUCUCAAGGUCAAUUUUGCAAUCAGCACUCCGCAGUGAACGCUUUGCACAUGUUUAAAGACUUACAUCUGAUCGUGCAUUUUGCUGCCAAAAAGCAUUAGCUCACUUCUACAUGUAACCAACCAGUAAUAGGGCCACACCCUGGUUACACUAGUGGUUUUGCACUUAUGUUGCUGUUCUAAUAAGACAUGACCGAGGCAUUUAUGCAAAAUACAUUUAUUCUGGUGAUGCAGAUGAGCCUUUGUUUUCUCUACGUCUAGCUUUGUUCAUUCCUGCCCUCUCCAAGUGACCUGAAAUACAACUAGGGAAGCUGAAUGGCAGUAUCUUCCUGCUCUCCUUAUACCUGGUUGUAGUAGGUAGGCAUCCUUCUCUCUAUGGAACAGUGCAGAUGAGAAAGGCACAUGUCUAGAAAAUGAGGAGAAAAUCAUGGAAGUCCCAGAAGACCUUGAAUGCUCUCCGAAGUUUUGGACUGUAUUCAGGAGCAUGAGAGCAUUGUGCUUCAGUGGGAUGGGUGGAGGCCAUCAUGUAUUCAUAAGGAAGAACUGUGGUGAGGGAAAUGCUGCAGCAGAUAUGGACCUGAUUAACACUGUGUCCUAAUGUUAGUGAGAUACAGUGUUUGUAGCAAGAGCAGGUAGAAAUAUGUUGGGUUUCCUAAUUUGUUUUCUUGGUUCUCAGCUAAAAUUAAUGUAUAGCAGAAUCAUUCCCCUGAAUUCCAGCCCUCUUCUGUGCUUUUUUCCAAAAGCUUUUUGUUUCCUAAUGGAAAGAAGAGCCAUGCUGCCCACCCACAUAACAACAGUGUGUUUCACAGCAGUUGCAUGACUCAAGAUUUAAUGCAUGCAAUCAUGAAUUGUUCCUUUCCUUUUCCUAUCACUGAAGAGUAGAUCACUGGGUAGAUAUGCUAUCAUUGUACACCCUCAGCUUUGGGAGCAUUUUUGAUCUACACAAUUCUUGUGGAUUGCAUAUCUUUGUAAUGUAAUUUUCCAUUAAGCAGAGGAUAAUUUAGAGUUAAAGCUGAACAUCUGUUUUUGACAGGGAACAAAGAAAAACAGUUUUGGUUGUGAAACCCAAACUCCUUUGACAAAAAUGUAAUAUUUUACUGCAGAUACACUUGCUUAAGUCUUCUUGACAUCACUUUAUGCACUGAUAACGAUGUGACUUUUAAGGCUGACCUUCAUUUUCUUGCAGGGCAGAUGUGACACUGUGAUGUCUGGGAUUUUACCUGCCGUGAGCAAUGCAGAAUUAGCCUGUAGACCUCAUUGUUAUGAAUGGAAAUGCUGCAUAUACAUAAAAUACAGCCAAGCCAUUGUGCCACUGGCCAAUAGUUGAAAAAAAAUAAUCAAUCUGUUUAUGAAUCAUAUAUUUUGUCAUCCUAAAACACAUAAAAAGCAAGAUUUUUUAAUGGCUAUUAUUGAAACAAAACAACUGGAAGAAUGAACAUUUUGAUCAGAGAGUUUUAGGCAUAGACAAGCUACAAAAAGCGACAAAAAUCAUCAGCUUAAUUUAAUGCAGAUGAUUUCUAAAUGUUGGAAUAUCUUCUUUUCGAGUAGCCCUCUGUAAACACUGCAAUCUUUGGCAAAGUGAUUGGAAGAUCCCCUGGGGUAUAGCAGAUAAUGUCUUUCACCAAGACUAUUCUUUCAGGAAACCUUGAGGCUGCAAUUAGUGCAAAGUGAAUCACAGCACUGCGCCAAACUGAUGUAAGUUAGGGCAUUUGGAAAACCUGGGGGUCUUCCUAGAGUUGAAAGCAGAAAGCGUAAGGAUUAUCAAGCAGCAACUACAAGUCAUAUUUUCUUCCAAUGAGAAUGAAUUCUAUUGCAUUUUUUAAUUAUCCUUUGGGAUUAUACAAUUAUGUGGAAGAAAUGUACAUUGUAAAACUUCCUCUGAGAAAGAUGGAAAGCUCUUGUUUGAGUUUGUAUGUAGGCAAUUACCAGUAAUAGCUUUUGAAAAAUCACAGUAAAACAAAUUUAAGUAAAACUAAAUGUGGAAGUUAGUUAACAAGUACAUCACAUAAGUCUUCUGGUUAAAAAAAAAAAAAAAAAAAAAAAAGCAGCUAAAACUCAAGGGCUGAAAAGCAGGUAUGUAGCCAGUUCAAUUUCCUUCUGCCCAUUCACCCUUCCAUCCUCUUCAUUCUUAAAUAUGCGAUCUAAUUUAGGAGACCAAAGUUAGGAACAGAGGUAUUUGCCUUAGUGCAGGCAACAAUGCACCAGCUAACCAGAGGAAUUCUCUUACAGAGAUACUGCAUUAUCAGGAAUCAUUAAGAUGAGAUAGAACUGGUGGUAUCAGAGUGACCUAAAGUCAAGAAUUAUCUUUUGAGAAAGAGCAUGAAGGACAAGAAGUUUAAGAAGUUUAAGAAGCAGUUAAGAAGUUUAAGAAGCAGUGGAGCUAUUCUGAACAUCUAUUUAUAAAACAACUCAGAUAUUAUCUGUAAGAGACUCAGAACUGUGAGUUACUCUGUGACUUUUCCUAGGAAAGCUUACAUGAAUCUGUUCCUACAUCAGAAAACCAAAAGCAAAACCCAAACUCUAUGUGGGUGAAAACCUGAAGAUGAGGUUUUCAGCAGCAUUUCAGCAGGAGAGUUGGAAAAUCCAUCCUUUUUAACUACAGAAGGUUCAAACCGAAACAGUUUUGAAUUUCAUGACCACAACUUGGUAACUACAGUUCUGUGCACUAUGGAUGAUUUGAAGAUAGAUUUCCAUUUUUUUUUCCAUUACUUUGUUUACUUCCUCCAUACACAAUAGACCUUCAGGUUAGUCAGUGGCUUCUCUUUCCAUGGUCAGAAUAUGUUCAGGCAAUGGUUUACAUGUGUGGGCUUUACCCUGUUAAAAUUUCAAAGGCCUUGAUUCAAAAGCUAGAUAUGCCUGAGAAAUCUUUUUUUCUUGGGUCAAUGACUUUUUGAUCAGGUCUCAAUUUUCCAUCUCUCGUGUAUAAGUAUCGCUCUGUGCACAUCCAUAUUUCUUGCAACUGCUUUCUGUUCUUUAAGUCAGCCCACUUCACCUCUGCAAGAGCUGAAUGUCUAACAAAAAAUUCUAACUGUAGUAGGAAAAGCUUGACUACCAUAACUUAUUAGCUUUAUAAAUCUUACAAUAAAUGGCAUUGUUUGCACCCCUAAAAGGAAUCGUGUAAAUGCUAAAUGGAAAACUGAAAUAUCAUCUAGCUUAUUGAGAGUGCUAUUUAUUAUUAACUGGAAAAUUAUAACCCGAGGGUCUUCAUUUGAAAAUGUCAGCAUUUAUUAUUAAUGUUAUUUCUUUAGCUUUACAAGGCAGGCUUUUUGCUGUUGCUCAAAGCAAUGCGUACUAAAGUCAUCUUAAUGAGAAGCAUUAUUUUAAAUUGGACAUUUGAUUUUAUUAAUGCUGUGUGUUAGCUUUCACAUGUGUGACAAACUAUGAUAUAGGCAAUGAUUUUAAAUUUUAUACUGAAGUGAAUGUAAAAGGUAUUUGAAGACAAAAGAAUGUGGAAUUACAGAAGCAAAUAAUGUAUUUUAUUCAAUAUAUUUGACCCUUUCCUUACUCCUUUCCUCCGUGGUUUAUUUCCAUAUCAACUUAUUUUUCCCAAUUGAUAAGAUGUCACCAUUGAUAAAAUGAUAUUUGCACAAGUAGUAUACUAGUUUGAAGUUUCUUUUCACUGAAAGUCAGUCUAUGUGAAGGGAUGUGAAUGCCAUCUCUGGCACCGGUCUUCUGACCAUACCCCUGUAUGUAGUGUCACUCAGAGCCACACUGUAGAGCAUUUGCUGAGCACAGUAUACAUAUAGGGUGAGGAGUGAGAUGAAGAAAGUGGCACUACAAACCAAGUGUGCUUUCUUUUCCGACAUGAAGAAGAGAGAAGUGGAGAUGUUGCACCAUCACUACUUACUUCCCAUCAGUGUAACAACAAACUGAGGGAAAAUUUCAGUCUUGAGACCUAUUUUUUUUUUCUAAAGUAGAAGAUCCUGACAGUUCCUGCAGAGUAGAUUUUAGGUGUGUAGCCCUUACUUUUCAUAAGGGGCCAAAGUAGGGAACAGAUCUUGCCUCAAGUCCCUGCCUAAGUCUGGAAGAAAAUGGGGAAAGCUCAACAAGUUUCAUCUUCUUGCCCCAUCUUGAAGGGAGGUGAAUAUUAAAUUCAUGGAUUUGUUUUGGGUCGGAUGUCCUGCAUUAAUCCCCCUUGGUAGGUGACCAAAACAAGUAUCUAUUGUUAGCUUGGCACCUGGGAAAGGUACAUCAUUCUGACAAUCUAAGUAUGGAGAAAGGGAAUUUUAGCUGAUGUUGUUACUUCACCUCCCAAGUCCAGUGCCGCCCCCAGAAGCUUGUGCCACUUGGAUCUCUGGAGAAUGAAAAAGUGUAGAUGUGGGUGGUGUAGAAACCAGUUUCCCAACAGGCUUUUUUCAUGCUUAGGGCUUGAAUUGGAGUAGUGCAUGGCCAUGUGACAUCCUCUAGCCGCCAAGCUCUUAUUUAAGGAGUAUGUUUUUUUUGUUAUUGGUAGUGGUAUUCUUUUUCCUUUAAUGUGUCUUCCACCAUACCUGCUAGCUUACAUUCAGAAGAGCACAGUUACACAAUAUGCAAUUACAAUAUCCACUAUAACUAGUAGCUGUUUGCCCUCUGUAGACCUGAUUAUUGCUUAUUGGUUGUUCCAAGGAGUGAUAGAAAUCCAGGCAAAAGAAACGAGAAAAUGUUUUGAGAUGGAAAGGACUUUAAUAAAGAUCAUCUGGUUUCCCCUCUCCCCUUCCCCUCCCCCCCAAAAAAAGAUUCUUACUGUCCUGAUUUUCUCACUGUCGUAACUCCCACUGCCUCAUUUUACACCUCAUGAAAACCAAAUAAAGUGCUAAUAGCAUUUAUCUUUGAAGUACCAGAAUUAGUGCCUGUGUGAACACUCAGAGAGCAGCUCACACUUCUGAGAAGCUUGAACUAAGGCGGAGGUCGCUGAACUGCUGUACCUCAGCCCUCCUAGUUGCUGCUGGACUGAAGCCAGAUGUCUGCAAGCCAAACAAGAGAUGAACUGAGUCUGUCCUCUCAUGGUGCAGAGGAUUUAUAUUAACCCACAGGUGGCCCAUCACCUUUACUCAAGACUAGCCUCUCACAUGAUUCACAAGAGUAUAAGGCAGAUGAAAGAUUGGUGGUGUCUCAAAUCAGUGUAACACUUGGACAGAAUUACAUCUGUGACUCUGCUUAAAGAUUUUGAACAACCAAAAAAGAGCACAUCCAGUUUGUCUGCAUUAAAACAUGGUGUAGUCAAGGACCAGAAGCUGUCAUUCCUCCAAAUGGACACCUGUUUUGCUUAAAAUUAUUUACCAGUGUGAAUAGAUGCAAGAAGGAUGAUGCAACAUUCUGGUGCAGUGUAUUAGGCAGACUGAGCCACCAUAAGUGCACUAAGAGACUGGGUGUGGUUUCAGAUGUGAAGAAUAAAGCAUAGAGGCUCUUGGAAAUUUUAAUAAAUGGGCAAAGGAAGGAUGGGAGCAAAUGAGUCCAUAAUGAAAGAGAGGUCAUGGGAAGUAUGGAGAGUCCCUGUAGGAGCCUGAAAGUGAAGACCUCUGCCCGAGGCAAACACCUUCCAGAGUAUGUAUCAGCCCAAACAGUUAAAAACUGGCAGAAGUAUAAAAAACUCAAACCACAUCUGAAAAUGGGAAAACGGGAGACAGUUUGACAGCUUUGCUGGACACUCUCCUGCUGAGUACGUCCUGGAGGGACAGCUCCUGAAGGUUUAUCUCUGUUUAUUCCAUCACCCUUCAUGGUAGAGGUACUGGACACCACAGGAAAACUUGGUCAACCUAAGUAGUUGACCAGAGAGCCUACAUUAGCUGAAGGUCCAGGCAGAGAGUCUUGAGACUACCAGGAGUUCCAUGUAGAUCUUGUCCGGUGAGGCUUUCAGGUUUCCAUGGGCCAGGCAGGAGCCCUGCAACCUGGCGGACCACCAAGCCUCACAGAAGUCAGCUUGGGGAUAUCAUCCCUCUGUGCAUCUGGAGCUUUUGCUGCUGCAAACCACUUGGCCGUCCAGUCAUAAGUGAUAUAUCUGGUACACUUUUUCUGUGUAAAGGGAAGCAGCCAGGCUGGAUCAAAGAAAAUGACAUUACCAAUAAGUUUCAAAUAAAAGUUGUAGUGGAAAAAAGAAGAAGAAUGUACCGUUUCUGUACAACGUUUCUGUUACUGUACAACUGAUAGCAAAUACACUGUGUGAGAGCAUUGCUAAGAUAACGAGAGCAAGGUGACACGUGUGUGAGUCCAUGGAGGGAAGGACAGUCGAGGGUAAUUAAUAAAUCAUAUUUUCUGU